ensembl:lncRNA
GCUCUGGCAAUGGGUUCUAGUAGAGAAUAAGAUACAAUUCUUAUCUUCAUGUAGUUAACAGUCAACAGAUUAGCAAAUGCACAUUGAGCACAUCUCAUGUGCCAAGCAAUGGGAUGUUCUGGGUGUUGGGUGCAGAUGAACAGAAAGUGUCCUGUCUUCAACAAGCUUGCACAUUAUUGGUGAAGUUGGAUCAAAACGUUCAUUAUCAUUCCAGGCCGUGUUUGAUGAGGGCUGUAAUAGAGUCAAGGACUAGAGCACACAGAGUUCUUUUAGUCAAUUCUUGUUAUUAACUUUUUAUUUUUGGAGAGGUUUCCUCUGGGAAACACUGGUUUCAUAAAUAUUCAUUCCAUCAGAAAGGAGUUAUAAAGUUUAGCUUUUGUCUUGACCAAAGCAUAGUUCCACUGUGUUUAUGUAAUAUUCCCUGUGAAUAGGAUUCCUGAGGUUUCCUUUUGUCUAUGAACAUGCAAACGAAGCUUACUUACUCAUGGUGCUGGCUUUGCAUGAGUUAAGCAUGGUGAGUGCCUGCUGCAGAGACCCUCUGAAUGAAUAGAUGCUGGGAAGAGAAGGGAAUAUUAUAACUUAUUGUCAUUUGAGGCUCCUGCACUGCCUCUCGGACCCAUGAUCCAAAGCCACUGCUUACAUAUCAACUUUUCUUAUUCGGCCCACAAGGCUAUGACUGAGUUAUCCAACAAUUCCUAGAAUGUCACAGGAACAACAUUUUUGGAAUCAACUCAUUUAUUUAUAGGAUUUUUCUAGUGCAGAGAAGCUAGUUAAUUGCAAGUCGUGAGCCUUUGUACAAAAUUAAAGCAAGCUAUAACGAACCUAAAAGUUUCUGACAUCCUUACCGCUUACAUUUUCCAUUUGUUUGUUUAUUCAGUUCUGCAAUAUUUCUGGAAAUACAUGCCGCUACUAAGCCCGAUAUUUAGGAAUCCAGAGAUCCAACCUAAUGAGUGGGAUGAUUUCAGAACUGCUGAGGAAAACAAAUCAAUUCUUUUUGGUUUUUAAAAACUAACAAGAAAUGCUGAGAAGUUCCAAAGAAGCAAGAACAGUCCUGAUGUGUAGUACGUGCUCAUCAUAACUUGCUGCAUUAAUGAAUGGCCUCAUAGAUGCGAAAUUCAGUCUGUAAGCCAUGCUUUUGCUUAUCAUUUCCUUCAGGUUAUUUUCUUC